UUGACCUCUGGAUGCUAGUAGGGAACCAAAGC
rnacentral:rRNA from 1 species